rnacentral:rRNA from 1 species
UACGGAGGGUGCAAGCGUUAAUCGGAAUUACUGGGCGUAAAGCGUGCGCAGGCGGUUUGUUAAGUCCGCUGUGAAAUCCCCGAGCUCAACUUGGGAAUUGCAGUGGAUACUGGCAAGCUGGAGUACGGUAGAGGAAGGUGGAAUUCCCGGUGUAGCAGUGAAAUGCGUAGAGAUCGGGAGGAACACCAGUGGCGAAGGCGGCUCGCUGGGCCGGUCCUGACGCUGAGACGCGAAGGCGUGGGGAGCGAACGGG